rnacentral:lncRNA from 1 species
UUGCAAGAAAUCGUCUAGGUCAGGUGGAUAGCUGCUUUCGUCAUCUAGUGGCAACAUGGCAUCCAAUGGAGUAGUUACUCUUCGGCCGAAUACAAGUUCGAAUGGCGCAACUCGAGUUGUUUCUUGAACGGCUGUAUUAUAUGCGAAGGUGAUGUAGGGCAAUAUUUCAUCCCACAGUCUAUGUUGAACAUCGACAUACAUUGAAAGCAUGUCAGUUAGAGUUCUGUUCAGGCGUUCCGUUAAUCCAUUCGUUUGAGGGUGGUAUGCCGUAGUUCUUCUAUGAUCUGUAUGUGUCAUUCGCAUCAGACAUUUCAUUAGGUCUGCAGUAAAAACUGUUCCACGAUCCGUAAUAACUGCGAUGGGCGCACCAUGCCUGAGGACUAUGUUGUUGACGAAGAACUUGGCAACUUCAAGAGAUGUUGCACUGUACAGAGAAUCAGUCUCAGCGUAACGGGUCAGAUAGUCUGUGGCUACAACGAUCCACUUCUUGCCUGUAGAUGAUGUCGGAAAAGGUCCUAAGAGAUCCAUCCCAACUUGUUGGAAUGGGGCAUCCGGCGGGUCGAUUGGCUGGAGAAGGCCUGCUGGUUUCACGGAUGGAGUUUUGCGCCUCUGACAUUCACGACAAGUUUUGACGUAGUGCCGCACUGAUGCUAUCAACUUAGGCCAAUAGUAUUUCCGACGAAUUCUGGCGAAUGUACGGCUCACACCCAUAUGUCCAGAAGUCGGUUCGUCGUGACAUGCGUGCAGAAUUUCUUCUCGCAUAGCUGUAGGUACGACCAGUAAAAACUUUUCGCCGUUGGGCUCGAAGUUCCUCUUGUAAAGGACACUUCCUCGAAGGCAGAACGAAGGAAGACUUCUGGAGAAAAUGCGCGGAACUUGAACGUCGAGUCCCUGGAGGCGUUGUAUAAGCGACAGCAAAUCUGGGUCAUCUCGUUGUUGUUGAGCGAUUUCCGAUGCGUCGACGAUGCCUAGGAACGGGAA